AAACUCUGUAGCUGUGUUGAGCAAGAACACGAACACAAAGAGAGACAGAGAGAAGAAGAAUCGAUUAGAGCAGAACACGAAUAGGGAAGAACACGAACCGAGAGGAAGAGAAAGAGUCGAAUAGUGUUUUUU
rnacentral:sRNA from 1 species